GCGCGAAAACUUGGCAAUGCGAGAAAUCGUGACCAGGGAACUCCAAGUGCAUCGGGUAAGACCGAUGCUUUUCUUGACUCUUCAAAGGUCUUGGAAUAAGGGGUGGGUAAGGACGGUGCCAGCCGCCGCGGUAAUACCGGCGCCCCAAGUGGUAGUCGCUUUUAUUGGGCCUAAAACGUCCGUAGCCGGUCUGGUACAUUCGUGGGUAAAUCAACCAGCUCAACUGGUUGAAUUCUGCGAGCACGGCCAGACUUGGGACCGGGAGAGGUGUGGGGUACUCUCAGGGUAGGGGUAAAAUCCUGUCAUCCUGAGAGGACCACCUGUUGCGAAGGCGCCACACUAGAACGGAUCCGACGGUCAGGGACGAAGCCUAGGGGCACGAACCGG
rnacentral:rRNA from 1 species